rnacentral:misc_RNA from 1 species
GAAAUGCGAUAACUAGUGUGAAUUGCAGAAUUCCGUGAAUCAUCGAGUCUUUGAACGCACAUUGCGCCCCCUGGUAUUCCGGGGGGCACGCCUGUCCGAGCGUCAUUGCUGCCCAUCAAGCACGGCUUGUGUGUUGGGUCGUCGUCCCCUCUCCGGGGGGGACGGGCCCCAAAGGCAGCGGCGGCACCGCGUCCGAUCCUCGAGCGUAUGGGGCUUUGUCACCCGCUCUGUAGGCCCGGCCGGCGCUUGCCGAACGCAAAUCAAUCUUUUUCCAGGUUGACCUCGGAUCAGGUAGGGAUACCCGCUGAACUUAAGC